rnacentral:rRNA from 1 species
GAGUUUGAUCGUGGCUCAGAUUGAACGCUGGCGGCAUGCCUUACACAUGCAAGUCGAACGGCAGCACGGGAGCUUGCUCCUGGUGGCGAGUGGCGAACGGGUGAGUAAUGCAUCGGAACGUAUCCUGGAGUGGGGGAUAACGUAGCGAGAGUUACGCUAAUACCGCAUAUUCUGUGAGCAGGAAAGCGGGGGACCUUCGGGCCUCGCGCUCUUGGAGCGGCCGAUGUCGGAUUAGCUAGUUGGUGAGGUAAAGGCUCACCAAGGCGACGAUCCGUAGCAGGUCUGAGAGGAUGAUCUGCCACACUGGAACUGAGACACGGUCCAGACUCCUACGGGAGGCAGCAGUGGGGAAUUUUGGACAAUGGGGGCAACCCUGAUCCAGCCAUGCCGCGUGAGUGAAGAAGGCCU